UGUGUGUGAACAAAGAAUUGGGUAUGCUUUUGGAAAUUCCAAAAUGUAUGGGCCCUUCUAUGCUGAACAGUUAUAGCACUGUGACUCACUUAAGCCUCAUCAGAACAUUUCUGGAAUCCUAGGACUUGCAAUGUGUAAAGAGGACUGUUGUCAUUGCAACCAACAUCUCCAAGUAUGGGCAACACAAGCCUGCCAUUCCAGCAGUCAAGGGCAGUCUUGCAUACACCACUUUUGACCCACAAGCCAGCAAUAUUCCCAUGAAAAAGCCUCUUCCCCUGAUUCAGAGACUGUCUGGCCAGUUAUACCGAGAGAUUUAUGGUCUAUGAAUGCUGGGAUCCCAUAUCAGGAAAAAAGGAAUACGGGUUCAACUGCUUCUAAGUUUGAGAAUUUGUUCUUUCUAAUAAAUUGCUAAAGCAUGA